rnacentral:rRNA from 1 species
GCUAAAUAGCUAGCUUUAACACCUGAAUUUUUACACAACAUUUAAAAAACUCUACUUAACCCAMAAACCAUUACUAAAACAUUUUCCCGCCCCAGUAUGAGUGACAGAAAAGGCACACAUUUAAAGCAAUAAAAGAGUACCGUAAGGGAAAGCUGAAAAAGAAAUGAAACAAGCCAUAUAAGCCCAAUAAAGCAGAGACUAGACCUCGUACCUUUUGCAUCAUGAUUUASCUAGUCCAUCUGAGCAAAGAGUACUUUAGUUCAAAACCCCGAAACUAAGUGAGCUACCCCGAGACAGCCUAUUAUAGGGCCAACCCGUCUCUGUGGCAAAAGAGUGGGAGGAUCUCUGGGUAGGGGUGACAGACCUACCGAACUUAGUUAUAGCUGGUUACCUAAGAAAUGGAUAAAAGUUCAGCCUCGCACUCCUCAACUCACAAGAAGCCACCACUAACUAACGAAUCUGAGAAAUACGCGAGAGUUAGUCAGAGGGGGUACAGCCCCUCUGAAAAGGGACACAACCCUGCCCAGGAGGUUAAAGAUUAUAUUAAGCAAGAUUACUGCUCCAGUGGGCCUAAAAGCAGCCACCUGAAUAGAAAGCGUUAAAGCUCAAGCAGCCCAAAAAUCUAUUAUCCAAAUAGAUGUAUCUUAAACCCCUAGCCAUAUUAGGCCUUUUUAUGCCAACAUAAAAGUGAUACUGCUAAAAUGAGUAAUAAGAAGAACUAAAUCUUCUCCUGGCCCAUGUGUAAGCUAGAUCGGACCCCCCACUAGCUAUCAACGAACCCACCCAAAGAGAGCAAUGUGACUAAAAACAUUAUCAAGAAAAAAUCACAAUUUACAAUCGUUAAUCCCACACUGGAGGGCCCAUAAGGAAAGACUAAAAGAAGGGGAAGGAACUCGGCAAAUACAAGCCUCGCCUGUUUACCAAAAACAUCGCCUCCUGCAAAACUCAACGUAUAAGAGGUCUUGCCUGCCCAGUGACAAAGUUAAACGGCCGCGGUAUUUUGACCGUGCAAAGGUAGCGCAAUCACUUGUCUUUUAAAUGAAGACCUGUAUGAAUGGUAGAACGAGGGCUUAACUGUCUCCCCCCUCUAGUCAAUGAAAUUGAUCUACCCGUGCAGAAGCGGGUAUAAAUAUACAAGACGAGAAGACCCUUUGGAGCUUAAGAUAAAAGGCCAACUAUGUUAAAAGUCCCAAAAAAAGACUAAACCAAAUUAGUACUGGUCCCAAUCUUCGGUUGGGGUGACCACGGGAGAAAGUAAAGCUCCCAUGCAGACUGGGAUAAACCCCCUAAAACUAAGAGAGACAUCUCUAAGGCACAGAACAUCUGACUAAAAGAUCCGGCAACAUGCCGACCAACGAACCAAGUUACCCUAGGGAUAACAGCGCAAUCCCCUUCCAGAGUCCAUAUCGACAAGGGGGUUUACGACCUCGAUGUUGGAUCAGGAUAUCCUAAUGGUGCAGCCGCU